rnacentral:rRNA from 1 species
UACGAAGGGUGCAAGCGUUACUCGGAAUUACUGGGCGUAAAGCGUGCGUAGGUGGUUUGUUAAGUCUGUUGUGAAAGCCCCGGGCUCAACCUGGGAAUGGCAAUGGAUACUGGCAAGCUAGAGUGCGGUAGAGGGUAGUGGAAUUCCCGGUGUAGCGGUGAAAUGCGUAGAGAUCGGGAGGAACACCAGUGGCGAAGGCGGCUACCUGGGCCAGCACUGACACUGAGGCACGAAAGCGUGGGGAGCAAACAGG